rnacentral:rRNA from 1 species
UACGGAGGGGGCAAGCGUUGUUCGGAUUUACUGGGCGUAAAGGGUGUGUAGGCGGUUGCGCAAGUCUGGUGUGAAAUCUUCGCCGCUCAACGGGAAGAGGUCACUGGAAACUGCGUGACUCGAGCAUGGUAGAGGCAAGCGGAAUUCCUGGUGUAGCGGUGGAAUGUGUAGAUAUCAGGAAGAACACCGGUGGCGAAGGCGGCUUGCUGGGCCAUUGCUGACGCUGAGACACGAAAGCGUGGGGAGCAAACGGG